rnacentral:rRNA from 1 species
UCAGGACGAACGCUGGCGGCGCGCCUAACACAUGCAAGUCGAGCGAUGAAGAGAUGACGGAAGUUUUCGGACAGAAGACAUUUUGGAUUAGCGGCGGACGGGUGAGUAACGCGUGAGUAACCUGCCUUUGACAUGGGGAUAGCCUCGGGAAACUGUGAUUAAUACCCAAUGACAUUACUAUGUUGCAUGACAAAGUAAUUAAAACUCCGGUGGUCAAAGAUGGACUCGCGUCUGAUUAGCUAGUUGGUGGAGGUAACGGCACACCAAGGCAACGAUCAGUAGCCGGCCUGAGAGGGUGAACGGCCACACUGGAACUGAGAAACGGUCCAGACUCCUACGGGAGGCAGCAGUGGGGAAUAUUGCACAAUGGGGGAAACCCUGAUGCAGCGACGCCGCGUGAGCGAAGAAGGUUUUCGAAUCGUAAAGCUCUGUCCUUGGAGAAGAUAAUGACGGUAUCCAAGGAGGAAGCCCCGGC